CUUGACACUUGUUACGGCACCGUAGUUUCUCCAAUCAAUACUUUGAGGCACCGCGGAGAUGUCUACGUCAUCAAACGACACCACUUGCUCUCCCUCGAUAUUUAGUGGGCGAGAUACACCACCAGUAUAUUGAGCAACAAAUUCGUUAUUUGUCAUAUCGGUAAACUGAUUGAUACCGAGAGUGUACGAAUUUCCGUUGCGAUUGUUAAAGUUUUCGAUAUGGUUCACGUUGUUCUUGAAAAUCUGAAACCGGAGCAUCUUCUCGUCGUUGUCCUUGUAAACUCGGCCGUACUCCGCCACCCAUUUUUCAAACCGCUUCAUCAUGGGAUCACUUGGUUCGUCACAAGAAGCUGCCGACGGCAAUGCCCGCAUCACACAGAGAAACAAGAAAAGAAACACGAGUUGAACUUUGGAAGCCAUGCUUAUGUAGCACUAAAUAUCUACUAUAUGUAUGACGAAAUUAGAGAUCGAGCUAAAAGAGCUUUUGUUGCUGAGAAUAUGGUCUCAAGAUCGAGUUUAUAUAGAAGUUCAAGCCUUCGAAUGUACGGGGGAGAAUUAAUGGGUGGGGUCCCGAAUUAAGUUACAUGUACUAUAUGAUUUAACUCCGCCAUCCAUUCUUUAUAUGAUUUAACUCCAACCAAGUUACAUCUACUCGCAUGCUUCAAUACCCAAAUAGGUCCUAAUUAAGUUACAAGACAAUCCAAAAUAAGGAAAGCCCAAGUUCUAAGUUGGCACUAAAGUUAAUUUACUGAGUAAAAUUCAAUUUACCCACACCACCACCCCCUGUAAUUUAGUGGAGUUUUACUUUGUUCUUAUGUAGUUUAAAAUAGAAGAAUUUCUUUUGACAAAAUCUACGAGAUGUAGACCCAAUGUGUGUACGUGUGCAAACGUUAUUUUGUCUCUUAUCAAUUCUUAGUAAGGUCGCAAUGGAGAGGGGGACAACUUUUAGGGGCCGUUUGGUUGGAUGUAGUUACAAAAAUGGUGUAGUUUGAAGUACAUGCAAUUGUAAAUGUUCCAGUUUUAACUACACCUAGUCUGUUUGAUUUUAUGCAGUUGCAACUGUUAUAGUUAUAUUUCUUCUGUUUGGUAGUGUGCAGUUGAGAUUUAAAUUUAUAAAUUCUAUCAAAUUUUAGAUAGAAAUGUGAGAUUAUCUCUUUUGAGCAUAACGUAAUCAUAUUUUAAAUAUUAAUUAAAACUUUUAUAUCUAUAUAUAAUUUAUAAAUUAUAAAAUUGUAUAUGAAUUUAAUAAAUAUUAAAUGUAAAUAUAUUAUAAAUUUGUUCAAAAUAAAAAUUAAGAUAUUAUUAAACUAACAAACUGAAAAAUAAGAAGCGCAUGAAAAAAAAUUUAUUUUACCCUAACAGAUAUUACUAAAUCAUAUCAGAUUUCAUGAAUAUGUAUUUUUGAAAAAAAAUAAAAAAAGAAGUGUAUGAAAAAAAAUCACAUUUUGUUUAUUUUUUUAAUAGGUGAGUUGACUCUGGCUCAACCGCUGUAGUUGGUACUACAGCCAAUUUGGCUGCAUUACCAACUGUUAUAGUUGGGCCUUCUCAUGCAGAUCAACUACAGUAGUUGAGUCUAACUACACCAAACCAAACAAAAAAUUAAUAGAUGCAUGUAUUUUCAACUGCAAUGCAAUUGAAAAUACAUGCAACCAAACAGCCAAGUUCGAGCUAAGUUUAUUUUUAAAUGAAAUAAACGGAGCAAUACCCAUCUCUUAAAAAAAAGAAUUUUUUUUGGCAAAACCUGCGAGAUGUAGACCCAAUUGCCCAACGAGAAUAGGACUGAUAAAGACUUGCAUGAAUGAAAAAAGUUAUAUUUAAAUUUGAAAAGUACUAUUGUCCAGAAUAUUUUUUUUUAUAAAAAAAAAUAGCACACUAUCCGCUUCAUUUACUAAGGAAUUGAAUUAGACUGUAAUGAUGAAGCAACCGAGGCCUCGAGAGAGAUAGGGAAAAAAAAAAAAAUCUAAUGUUCAGAAUAGUUAUUUAGCAUUAUGAAAGAUUUUUUUAAAAAAAAUUUAUGAAUGCCACGCUUAUGUAUUAAUUAAAAUAUCACAAUGCCCUCAUAAAUUAAUAAUAUCAUUCAUGCUCUUUUAAAUGGUCAUAAAUAUUAUAGUAAAUAGCUCCCGUGAUUAGUCUCUAUCGAAAAAUCUUGUCAUUAAUUGUUAUAAAAUAUUUAUUUUUUCACCAUUAGUAUAAUAACCCGUGCGAUGUUAUAAAUAAAUAGUGCAAUGAGAGAGAGAUGAGCGUGGUGGUGGAAGAUUAGAUGAUAAUGUUGCAUGAAAAAUAAUAGGUCAUGCAAAAGAGAGAGGGCGGAGGGAUUAAUGAAGGAGGGGAGUUGAUUGCAAUUACAAAAUACACUCAUUAUUGGAGGAGUUAUAAAGCCCAUUGAUUAGUAGGGGGCGGGAUUAAUGUAGGCCUAGAGGGGAGUGAACUGGAAUUAUAAAGCCCACUCAUUAGUAGAAUAUAAUGUAUGUAAUUAAAUAUUACAUAAUAAAUUAAUUAAUUAAUUUAAUCUCGAGUGAGUGCUAGAAAAAUCACCAUUGGAAGAGAAAAAGCCAAGAAAAAGACAAUGAAGAAGGUAGCGCCAUGUUGGAUAAGAAAUCGAGGUUUAAUAUAGAGUUAUAGAAGAUUAUAGAUUAUAGAUAAUAUGACAUAAUUAUUGUUCUUUAAAAACUGAAAAAUGAUACGGAGCAUGAGGUACUAAGUUUAAAUCUUAUCAAUCUAGUUUCAUUUAAUUUCUUUUCAUCUAACUUAAGUUAAUUCAAGUCCAUAUUUUAAGUCUAUUAAAACAUCUCGAGCCUAAACUCAAGGAAGAGUGUUGAUUUUAAGGGCGUGUUUGGUUCGAAGUUGGAGUCGGAAUCGGAAUCGGAAUCAAAAUAAGUUGGAAUCGGAAUCGGAAUGACUCAUUACCUAAUUCUGUUUGGUUCAUCACCUGAAUCGGAAUCGGAAUAAAUCAUUCCUAUUGUCGGUGUUUGGUUCAGGUGGAUAUAAAAAACGUAAUCAAAUUAAUAUACUAACAUUAUCUUUAUAAUAUAUUAAUUUAAAUUCAAAUUAAAUAUUAAAUAUUAAAAAUUUACAUCAAAAUUUUGAAAUAAUGUCAAAAUUUUAAAUCUAUUUUUUUUAAAAAAAAUUAAACUUUGAAGUUGAGUGGAUAAUUCAAAAUGUGAAACUAAAUUUUGAUUUAUUCAAAUUCAAACUAAAAUUACAAUUUAAAUUUUAAUUUGAAUCUAUAAAUUUAAUUUAAGUUUGAAAUAAAAUUUGAAUAAAACUUUAUAUAAAUUAAAAUUUAAUUUAAAUUCAAAUUCAUAAGUUAGAUUCGAAAUACUUGAUUAAAUUUUAAUUUUUAAUUUAAGUUCAAAUUAAAAUUUAAAAUUAUAUAUUUAAUUUUUAAAUUUUAACUUAUAUUUUAAUUAAAAAAGUUGAAAAAAUAAAUUUAAUCCGAAUAAAUAUUCAUUCCGUCCUGAUUCAACUUCCAAUCCGGCAUUCUAGGCCGGAUUGAAAAAUGAGGUGAUUGGGGGAUUCCCAUUCCACUCGGGAAUGGGAAUCGGAAUGAGACUCCCGCGUACCAAACACCCACAAACGGAUUCAUCCAUUCCGAUUCCGAUUUUAGGGUGAAAAAGAAGCGAACCAAACACGCCCUAAAUAUUAAAAAUAUUGCUUUUUAAUAACUUAAGUUUUUAGAGAUAAAUAUUUCAUUUUUUUUUAUAGAUUUUAUUUUUUUUCCAUAUUAUAGUGAACGAUUAUACUUAAUUACCAUUAGAAAAUAAAGAAGUGUACCUUAAUUUAUAUGAUUUUACUCCAACCACUUUUCAUCUACUAGCAUGCUCCAGUUCCCAAAUGUGUCCUAAAUUAGAAGACAAUCCAAAAUAUGAAGAGCCCGGGUUAGAAGUUGGCAACUAAAGUUAAUUUAAUGCGUAAACUUCAAUUUACUCUCCAUGAUUUAGUAGAUUUUUACUUUGUUUUUUUGUAGUUCAAAAGUUGCACUUAAUUAUCAUAUAAUUUUAUUUUUAUUUUACCAAUGGAAUGACAUAAGUUAGGAAAGUAAAUUUAUUUAUAAAAAAAAAAUCAUAAAGUGAUAUCCUGGUUAACAAUAAGGGCAUGUUUGGUUCGUACAUUUUGGAUCCGAAAUGGGAAUCGGUUUGAUCAAAUCCUGCUAAUUUUGUUUGGUUUACAGGAAUCGGUUUGGGACUCCCAUUCCGGAUCGAAAUGGGAAUGGUCCAUUAGCUUACAAAUUAAUUCCGGUCUCCAGGCCCGGAUUGAAGUUUCAAUUCCAAGCCCAUACUCACCUCUUCCUCAGACCCAGCCUAACGUUUCUCCAUCUUAUCCAUUCUUUCUCUCCAUAUACCAAUCUUUUUUCUCUUUUGUCAUCAUUUAAAAAAACGUGAUAUAUUAUUUUUUAUUACAAUUUUAUUCAAAAAAAUUUAUGCAUUUUUUUGUAAUUUUUUGCAUAAAAAUUUUUAAAAUAAAUUCCUUUUUUUUGGCAUAGCUCUGACUUGAGAAUAGUAUUAAUUUUUUUUUUUUAUAAAUUUUAGAUAGUUUUAUAAAAUUAUAUUUAAAAGUAAAGUUAGAAUUAUGUUAUUCUAUUAUUUUUUACUUUGUAUGAACCAAAUAGUAAAAUAGGAAUAAUUCAUUCCAAUUUUCAAAUCAGAAAUGAACCAAACGUCUUGGAGGAGUAGGGCAAUCCAAUUGUCAUUUCAAUUCAUUCUCAUUCCAUUAUUCAUUCCAAUUUUACUCUUGAACCAAACAAGCCUUAAAUUCUUAUAAUAAAAUAAAAAUUAUAUUAGUAGAAUAGUUAAGUAUGUUUAACUUUUCAAAUCAUGUAAAAAGUGAAUUAAAAAAUAUUAAACAACAGUACGAAAAAUUAAAUUUACCUAAUUUAAUUCAUCACGCUAACUCGAUCCCAAUUCAUUCAUUUCCUUGAUCCAAAGAUUCUACAAUCUCAUUCUCUCAACCUUGUCGGAGUGCAAAUUAAAUAUAUAUAUGGUACAUCAAAAGUCAAAUCAUGCAUUAUAAUUUUUUAAUGUAUAAAUUUUUUUAAACUUUAUAAAAUUAUAUCAAACAAAUUAAAUUUUAAUUUUAAAAUUUUUUAGAGGAAAAUAUAAUUAGUUACACAUUUACUUCAUUUUGAUAUCUUUUUUUAUCCCCGAGUAAAACUUAGUAAGAGAUGUAGUGCCAACAUGCAUAUGCUGAUCCUUGAAACUUUUUAGAAUGUAUCCGUUAUCUUGAUAGAGUGGCAUCUCCAAUCAAUCAAAGAAUUUUUUUUAAAAUUUAUUCGUUCCAUAAUAAUUAUAAAAGGUAUAAUUUUAUUAUAUAUUUAAAAAUAAUUAUAAUUAAUUUAUUAUUAAUAAUAUGAUAUUAUUAUUAAUGAUGUGAUGUAAGUACGGUACUAGACUUUUUUCUGCUAAGCCAGCUAUAAUGACUUUCAGGACGGAUAAAUGCAGUCCAUUAUAUUUCUAUACUAUUUUAGGAAGCAUUUUGCUCGUCCUUUGUUUGGACAGAUGCAAUCAUGAAUGAGAGGGCCCGACAAACCUUCACUCCGUACACAAGAGUUAUUGCAGCUGAUGUGUUGUUUAUUGGAAGCGGACCACGUGUUGCACGUACGGAAGAGGGAGUGAUAAGAAAAAUCUCAUAAAUUAUUAAUACCGUCCAGGCUCUCUUGAGCUAUUAGGGUGUGUUUGGUUGCACGUAAAAUUAGAAAAAAAAUUAAUUUAUUAAGAAAAAAAAAUUUUGGUGGAAAAAAAAUUUUACGCCUUUAGUUAUAUAAGGAAAGAAAAAUAUUUUUCAUGACUUUGUUUUAUUGAAAAAAAAAAAAAAUAAAAAUUAUUAUAUAAUUUUUAUUUAUAUUAUUAAAUAUUAUUUAUAAUUUUAUUUAUAGAUUAAAUAUAUUUAAAAUUAUAAUAAUUAUAUACAUGAUAUCUAUAUAGAUUAAUAUAUUUAUGAGAUAUUAAUAUAUAUAUAAUUAUAAAUAUAUUAUAUAUGGUUGUUUUGGGUUGAAAGACAUAAAAAAAGAAAGAGUAAAUAAAAAACGUUAUAUAUUCAUUUUAUAUGUAUAUAUAUUAUUAUUCAUAAUACGCCAUCAAUUAUUAAUACUAUAUAAUUUUAAAAUUAUUAAUAAGUAAUAAUAAUAUAAUAGCAUAAUGUAUAUUAUUAGUAUAAAAUAAAUCACUAUAUUAUUUAAUAAAUAAUAUUUAUAAACUGUUGAUAUUAUUAUAGUAUAUAUAUAUAUAAAUAAUAUAUAUUAAAUAUUAUAUAUAUAUAAGAAGAGAGAGAGUCACGAGGCCGGGUCCUCGUGGACUCUCUUCACACGGUCACGAGGGAGCAGUUCACUCGUUGGACCGCAUGUUAAUAGCCUGUGCGCGCCCGGAUUUUUCAACCAGUGGUUUUGUCCGGCCGAGCGGAAAACUAAAAUAGCUUCGUUUUUUAAGGAAAUCUGUAAACAAAUUUGCCUGUAAAGAUCUUUUACAGACAGCCAAAGAUAGGAAAAAAGUUUCAACGAAAAAUUAUUUUUCAGAGACUGCAUUUACGAGGUCCUAACGGCCCUUAGUCUCUAUCAAAAUAAUCGUGAUAGUUACAAAAGCACUUAAUUUUACCAUUGGCCUGAGAUUAAUCAUUUGCUGUUCGCUUAAUAUUCUAUAGCUGAUAUUUCAAAUUUUUUGAAAAUGCCUGUAGUUAUUUUAUCAAUAAUUUUCAUCAUUCACGAAUUACACCACCUAAGAUAAUUUAAAAUUUAAAAUUUAAAUUAAAAUUCUAAAAUAUUAAAUUUAAAUUUUAAAUUCUGAAGUUCAAAUUGGUGUGAAGGAAAAUUUGUUCCAAGACAAACUUCUUUUAAUUCUACAAUUAAAUUUGAAAUUCAAAUUAUGUAUUUUGAAUUUGAAUUUCAAAUAAAACUUGGAAAUUAAUAUAAAUAUUGAAUUAAAAAAAUCGAAAUAUUGAAAGUUAAUUAGCUAUAAUAAUUUCUUAUAUUUUGGCAUUCAAGGACGAUUUGAGUUAUAUUCGAAAGCCAAAAAUCAAAUUUUUAAAUUUUAAAUUAGUAAAUUUACUAAUUUAUAAAUUAGAUAUAACUAUUAUUAAUAUUAAAAUUCAAAAUGUUAUAUAUUGUAAAUUUUUAGUGAUGAUGGAGGGCUCAAGAUCUGGUAGUUUAAAUGUAAAACUUGAAAUUAGAAAAAUUCUAUAUUAAAUUUUUCGGAAAUAUUUAGUCAGAUAAAGUUCGGAAUUAUUUUACAACUAUGACUAGUCAGCAGCUCUGGAACUAAGAUUAGGAUAACACUCCGUGACGUGAGAUAAAAUAAGAAAUAUUUAUGAUAUAACUCAUUCUAUUGGAAGAGCAUAUAUGAUAUUUUAAUAUUUUUACAAGUAUCUGCGGUAGUUUAAGAUUUUGAGGAGUAGUUAUGAAACUGUCCCCGCAUUUCAAAAUUUGGAAAAUUGAUCUCCCUCACUUGCGGAUUUCAUGUAGUACAAUUUUUAGACAGUGUUCUUAAUGCAAGUAACAAAUUAUAAGCAACUUUAAAGAAAAAAAAGUUACCUAUUUUUAGGGAUCACAUUUCGAAAAAUCUGAAGAUGAGUUUUUAGCUGUCCAGAUUUCACACUUUGAUAAAAAAUAUGAUCUGAAUAAUCAUAAAAGGGGAUAGCUUACGCUUACCUAUUUUUAAUAUGCACAAGACAUCGACUAUAAAUAUGUGUUGCUAAAAGUAAAAUUUACUUUUGUCCAAAUAAGUGAAAGAUGGAAUUAUUAAAUUAAGGCCAAUUUGCAUAAAAAAUUCACUAAUUUUGGGUUUUUGCAAAAGUGUGACUUUUUUCGUUUUUGUAGAUUCGGUCUGAAUUUUCAGCAAACUGAUCAAAAUACUUUUAUUAUUUUUUCUCUCUCCUCUUUCUCUCUCCUCUUUUUUUCUCUCGUUUAUUUUUUUUUCUCUCGUCGAAGAAAGCAGCGGAGGCAGAGGCGGAGGCUGAAACCCCCUGCCACGCCUUUCACCCUCAUGCUCUCGCCCUUGCCUUUGGUUUUUCUCUUUUUUGUGAUUGUAUCAGCUUUUGCUGAGAAUACGAGUUUAUAGUAAAAAUUCGAUUCGACGCUUCCGUUGUGUAAUCCCAACAAUCGGCUCCGAAUCCACAGCAAUCGGUAUCGAAGCGGGUUGCGAAUUCUCAAAAUCCGGUACCAAGACGAUUACCGAAUUCCCAAUAUAUAUAUAUAUAUAUAUAUAUAUGAGUCCGGCUACUGUACUAUUGAUAGUACCAAGCCUUUGGUACUAUUGAGUUUUCUACCGUUAGAUGUACUCUUUGAUCAUUUCCACCCGUUAGAUUAUACUAUUAAGCCAACCACCCACUCAACCUCAGGGGACCACUAUCAACCUAACCGCACAUCCUUUCAUCCAACGGCCAAAAACUCAAUAGUACCAAGGGCUUGGUACUAUUGAUAGUAUAGUAGCAUAAUUCUAUAUAUAUAUAUGAAUUAGCCUGAAAUACUAUUAAUAGUAAAACGCUCUAUUUGCUAUCAAGUUUUUAACCCUUGGAUGAAAAAUUGUAAGGUCAGGAUGAUAUUAGUCAGUUAUAGUUGAGUGGUCCCCCUAGGGUUGAGUGGUCUCUAUUGGGUUAUAGUAUUUAAUCCAAUUGUUAGAAAUAAUGAAAAGAGUUGAUCCAAAAGCUAAAAAACUGGUAGCAAUAAUAGGAUUUUGCUACUAAUAGUAGCCCAGUCCAAACUAUAUAUAUAUAUAUAUUAAAACACCUCUCUUUAAUUACUUAAGUUUCUAUAUAAAAAUAAUUGUUUCACAUCCUUUCAUAAAUUUAACUUUUUUCAUAUUAUAAUAAAUUGAUUAUAAUAUAAUUCCUACUGUUCAAUUAGAAAAUAAUGAAGUAUAUCUUUAUAUGAUUUAACUCCAACCAAGUUUCAACUACUAGCAUGCUUCAAUACCCAAAUAGGUCCUAAGUUACAAGACAAUCCAACAUAAGGAAAGCCCAAGUUCUAAGUUGGCACUAAAGCUUAUUUACUGAGUAAAAUUCGAUUUACCCACACCCCCUACCCCUGUAAUUUAGUGGAGUUUCACUUUGUUCUUAUGUAGUUUAAAGGUUGCAUUUAACCAUCAUGUGAUUUUUUAUUUUUAUUUUAUCAAUAGAACUUGACAUCAGUUAGCAAAUUGAAUUUUUUGUUCUGUUUAACACUAAGUCUUUACAAGAAAAUAAAAUUAAUAUUAUAGGAUAGUUAAGUAUAACUUUUCAAACCGCAUAAUAACAAAGUGAAAAAAAAUAUUAAACAGCAGUAAAAAAAAUUAAAAAUUACCUAAUUAAAUUCAUCAUACUUACUCGAUCCCGAUUCAUGCAUUUGUUUCCCUUCAAAGAUUCUACAAUCUCAUUUUCUCAACGAUAUCUGAGUGCAAAUUAAACAUGUAUUAAACCAAAAAUCAAAUCACGGAUUAUAAUUUUUUAAUGCAUAAAUCUUUUAAAUUUUAUAAGAUUAUAUCAAAUUAAUUAAAUUUUAAUUAAUUUUCAAAUUGUUUAGGGGAAAAGAUAAUUAGUUAUUCGUUUUGUUCAUUUUGAGAAUUUCUUUUGGCACCGACUAUUACUAGUGCAAGUAAUAAAGAGAUUGGUGGUUGGUAUUCGAAAUUCUAAAUUCGAACUAAAUUUAUUUUUAAAUAAAAUAAACAAAUCGAGUAGCAUGCUACCUACCCAUCUCUUAAAAAAACAGAAUUUCUUUUGGCAAAACCUACCAAAUGUAGACCCAAUGUGUGCGUGUGCAAACGUUAUUUUUGGCAAAACCGACUAGAUGUAGACCCAAUGUGUAAUGUGUACGUGUGCAAACGUUAUUUUUGGCAAAAUCAACUAGAUGUAGACCCAAUGUGUACGUGUGCAAACGUUAUUUUGUCUCUUAUCAAUAGUUAGUAAAGUCGCAAUCGAGAGGGGGACAACUUUUAUUGCAGCUGAUGUGUUGUUAUUCAAAUUAUGGGAGCAGUUGUUGCCCAACGGGAAUAUAAAGGACUGAUAAGAGACGUGCAGGAAUUAAAACAAGUUAUAUUUAAAUUUAAAAAAUACUAUUGUUCAGGAUAGUUGUUUAGCAUUAUGAAAGUUUUUUUAAAAAAAAUUUAAGAACGCCACGCUUAUGUAUUAAAAUAUCACAAUGCCCUUGUAAAUUAAUAAUAUCAUUCGUGCUCUUUUAAAUGGUCAUAAAUAUUAUAGUAAAUAGCUCCAGUGAUUAGUUUCUAUUGAAAAAUCUCGUCAUUAAUUGUUAUAAAAUAUUUAGUUUUUUACCAUUACGUACUAUUAGUAUAGUAACCCGUGCGAUGUGAUUAACAGAUAAUUAAAGGAAAAAUAAAAAACGGCGACAAAGAAAGAGUAAACGACAAUGGAAGAAGUGACGGUGAGGAGAUUCAUCCCGCUGAUAAACGAAGAUAAAAGUUGAAGAAAGAGGAAAAGAUAUAGUUUGGUCUAAUGCAGAGUUGUGAUCCAGUUUGGUUCAUGCAAAAAAAAAAAAUCCGAUUCGGUUCAAGCAAAAAAAAAAGAAAAGCUUGAGACGGUUUGGGGUAAAACCCACACUCUAUAGUGAUUGAUUCAGUUUAAAUAUAAAAAAAAGAAAAAAAUUGGUUCAAAGAUGGAAACAUGUGGAGCAGUUGGGCUGGUUUAGCCCAAUGGAACAGGUUGAUCUAAUUCGUUUCAAGUAAAGAAAGAGAGAAAUCAGACUCGUUCCACGUACGUAAAGAAAGAGAAAAAUAUGUGAAAAACUUAAGCCGGUUUUCAGAGGAGUCUACACUCAACAAUGAUCAGUUCGGUUCAAGUAAAGAAAAAAAAAAUCCGAUUAGAUUCAAGAAAAAUAAGGAACAAAAAAUGGAGAAGUUGAAUAGGUUCUUGAUGAAGCUCACACUUAAUAAUGAAAGGAAUGUUAUUAUGUGGCAAAACUAGAAAGCAUAACGUAUAGGGAUAAAUUGAUAUCGUUAAUGUUGCUUAAAUUUUCUAUUGCUGAUAUUCAAAGUUUUCUACAUCAUUAAUGUCGCUUAAAUGGUAUUCAAAAUUUUCUAUAGCGUAUUUUCCAAAUUUAUUAGAACUAAGAUUAGGAUAAUGCUAUUUGACAUGAGAUAACAUGAGAGAUAUUUAUGAUAUUUUUAGAAGUAUUUGUGAUAGUAAAAGAUUUUGAGGAGUAGCUAUGAAGCGGUCCCUAAAAAUCUCUGCAGUUCGAGCUCUCACAACCUCGUUUCAAAAUUUGGAAGAUUUUAUGUAGUACAAUUUUUAGACGGUGUUCUUAAUUAAGGGAAGAAACUUAUAAGCAACUUCAAAGGAAAAAAAGUUAUAUACUCGAUCGCGUAUAAUUUGGAAAUUUGAAUAUGAGUUUUGUCCUUUUUUUUUGAGAGAGAUCUAGAAAGGUAGCAUAAUACUCGCUUUGUUUAUUUCAUUUAUAAAUAAACUUAGCUGAAAAUGUGAAUCAAAUAGAAUUCGAAUUUGGAUCUCGAGUACCAAGCACCAAAUCCUUUGCCACUUGCUCUAGAGACAGUCGGUGAUAAAUAAUAUGACUUGAACACUCGUGCAAGGUGAUAGCAUAUACCCUCACCCACUUUUCAUAUGCACAAGACAUUAAUUAUAAUGUAUGUUUGUAAUAUACCGGAUUUUUAAUAUAAAAAUAAGUGUAAAUAAAAAUAGUGUAAAAUACUAUUUUUAUUGGACUUAGAGAAUGGAAACAGAAGAUUUAGAAUUUUCUGUAAGAAAUGAGAUUGAUAUUUUAGCAGAAAAUUCAGUGUCAGAAAAUUAUUUUUGUUAGUGACAAUGUUGGCGGUCUCGAGGCGUGACAAUGUUGGUGCAAGUAAAAUUUAUUUUUGUCCAAAUUAAUAUGGAAUAAGUAAUGAGAUUUGAAUUCUUUUUAUUAACCCUUCAACUCAGUUUGUUCUACUUACAGUACGGCGUUGGACCACUGUGUUAGUUAAUUCGCGUAUAAUACGCGAAUUAUACGUGAACAAACGGAAAACCAUAAAAAACGCUCCGUUUACGAAUUUUUUUCCAAAAAACCGAAAAAAACACGUUUUUCUCCCUCCCUCAGAUUAUUCGCGAUAAAAAUGGUUUUUCCGAGUUAUAUUUCGAAAAAUUCGGAUGUAGCAGCGGUGGAAAGAUAAAAUUUCUUGAGAAAUUUGGAUUUGGUGGCUGCAGACUGAUGAAAUUUUUUGGACCAGCUUUUUGGACCGGCAUCAGGCGAGCACCAUUCCGCAAAUUCGCGCACCUCUUCGUGAGCAAUCGAGCAACUUUGACUGUUCAAUUUUGAAGGAAACAUGCAGACCGAGCGAAGCAAAGAAGAAAAGGGGCGAGCGAGGAAGAAGGAGGAGCUUGGAAAAAAUCGCAUUGUAUGUUGGAAAAUAGUAGGGUCCACGAGGCUGCAUUCAAGGCCUUUGAAAACCACAAACAAACUACAAUCCUAAUUAAAGAGAGUCAUCGAUAUUUACAAUCCUAUUAAUAGAGAAUCAUUGAUAUGUCCUAGUUCACCUACUGAUCAACCACGAUAAUUAUAAUAAAAUCAAACUUAUAAAAUAUUGAAAUAUAGAAGAAGGCUUGACUAACAAAUAUAACAAAUAAGUUAAGUCCCCUUAAUCAAAUUUGUAUCUUGGAAUAAUCUCUCAUGCUACUUCUUCUUACACUCAACUACUGUACUUUUCUCUUUCUAAGGUGUUCAAUAUGUGCAUUCAAUAUGUGCAUAGUGUUUCUAUUUAAUUUGCUUUCUUUUUAAUUUUUUCGACAUGAACUUUUUUUUUGAACUUUUUUUUUAUUCUUUUUUCCUUUUCCACUUCACUAUUUCUUUUCUUUUUUCCUUCUCUACUUCCAUCGCAUCAUUGGAAUCCGAAUGUAGCAAUGUAAGUUCCAUCCAGAUUUAAUGCAAAUUAUAGUGAACAGCAUAGAAAUUUGCACUUUUUUUUUUGCAUAUUUUUUUAUUCAGCAAGAAAACAUUUAAGUUAGCAAUGAUAAUAAAAAAGAAGACAAUAUUAAAAUGAUACAAACAACAAUCAACUCUUAUAUCGAAAAAAAGGUAUGAAGACACAGAUCACACAAAACUUAGCCAGUUCCCGAGCAAACAAAAGAAAAGUCCCAAAAUUAGGGAUUCUGUGCUUCGAGGGGCAUAGAGGCCUUUUUACUCCUAAAUUAUUUUCGAUGAUGAAAUUUUCGAAUCGAUGAUCAAUUCCGUUAUAUUUGAUCUAGCGUAUUUGAAGUAUAUAGAAAAAGAUUUGAUCUAGCGUAUUUGAAGUAUAUAGAAAAUAAAUUUUACGUUUUUUCGAUAAUUCUUUAAUGAUCGAAAGCGUUCAAAAUUAAUGGCUGAAAAUAAAGAAUGCAUAAAAAAUGAUGAUAUAAAGAUCGUAUUAAAAGUUAGGGUCAAAAUUGGAUUGGACUAUAAAUAAAUUAGUUCAUUUUUAUUUCAGGAUGGAAUGCAAAUCAAAAUUUGCUUUUUGUAAAGCAAACAAUACAUUCGAAAUAAGUGAAUGUUCAUUUUUAUUUGCUCUCUUGCAUUCUUAUUUUUGUAGCUCCCCACAAUAAAUGCAAUAUUUUCCAAAAAUAUUAGAAAAAUUAAAGAAUAUAUACACCCUCAUAAUGUGUACAUAUUAUUGUAAUGUGCAUGUCCCUGGUCAAAACUUACGUGAGGUUAGUUUUCCAAAUUAUCUAUUUAAAUUGUUGGAUCUAGCAUGUCGUCAGAAAAAAUUACGUGGAGUUAGUUUUCCAAAUUAUCUAUAUAAGAAUGUAAGAUUUAUUACCACGUAGGUGUUAAAUCUCACAUUCUGAGAUAAUUUGAUAAGGUAGUUAGAAUUUUUCUUCUCUCUACUAUUAGUGGUCCCAAACUUCUUUUAGACCUACUGCCUGGAAAAAUUAUAAGGUACACCAAAAAGUUACAAAAAAAAAAAAAAAAAAAACAAAAAAAACAAAAAAAGAAAUAAACCAAGCCUAGCCUAGAUGCUUGUUGGUUGGUACCCGAGAUUCUAAGUUCAAAAUCUAAUUACUUCACAUUUUCAAUUAAGUUUAUUUCUAAAAUUAAUAAACGAAGCACAAAACAAAAACUUUCAAUUUAUUUGGAUAAUUUAUUAAUCCUAUCCUACUUAUUUUAGAAAAAAAAGUUAUAAUAUUUAAUAAGAAAGAACCAAAAGAGUCUAAUGGAUUUAAAAAAUUAAUAAUUGGAGGAAAGGAAAUUCUAACUAGCUUAUCAAGUUGCCUCAAGAUAUGAAAUUCAAUAUGUAUGUGACGAUACCGACCGUCCCUAGCGCAAGUGGUAACAAGGCUUGAUGGUUGGGAUCUGUGACCCAAUUCGAAUCCUUGUUGAUUCACAUUUUCUAGUCAAGUUUAUUUCUAAAUGAAAUAAACGAAACGAGUAGCAUGCUAUCUUUCUCUCAAAAAAAAAAAAAAAUCUGUAUGUGACGAUAAAUUCGACAUUCUCAAAUAGAUAAUUUGAAAAACUCUCUUGUGCGCAAUUUUUGGCAAUGUCACCUAUGCAUCAAAUUGUAUGGGACCAUUUCCAUUAACUUCGCACGAGCAUUAUCUCGAAGUAGGUGUCUAGGUGAUGGAAAGUGUUUGGGGGUAAAAUGUACGGCCACACCCUCAACUACAGGCCAUUCCAAGCUUGGAUCCCAAACAUUUCCUCUUUUUUUUUCUGAUAUUUUUUUUGUUUUAAAUUUUUGAUAAAUUGAGAUGUUUUAGUGAAAUACAUUAAGAAUUUUAUCAGAUUUUCCUUGACUCCAUAAGAAUCAGAACUAAACGAUGUUUAGCAAGGUAAUAAUUCAUCUUGUUUUAUCUUAAGAACAUGGUUAUAACUUAUAAGCGGGGAUGAAGCUAGAAUACAAAAAGAAACUUUAGCAAAUAAACAAGAUUUUACCUAAUUUAAUAUUUUAAUAAAAAAAUUUAUUAAUUAAAUAAUUAAUAAAAAUAUGAACUUUAUUUUUUUUCUAUUUUCAGACGUUUAACUUCUAAUUAAUUAUUUUAUUUAUAUUAUUACAUUCAAAUAACUUAAAAAUUUUACAAAAUCUAACGGUGAUUUCUUAAUUUUUAGUAAAUAAAAUUAGCAUAGCUAUUAAAUUUGGUGUAAUCUUUUAUAUAGUUAAAUAAAAUAGCUCAACUAACAUAGUUAGAAGUUAAAAAAAUAUUAAACGAAAAUUAUAGAGCGGAGAAAUAUAUUUCAAAAUGCUCUAUGAGUAAGUGGCUCUUAAUAUAUUUUCACUUACAUAAAGAGUAUACAAAUAAGGAGAGGGAGAGUUAUACUAGCACCACGAGCUAUUAAGCAAAUAUUAAAAAGCUAGGAGAACCACGACUACCCAAAAAAGAGAGCUGAAUAAAUACCAAAAAGUAUUGAGAAAAUAUUAAGAAGUUGGGGGGAGCCAUGGCAACUUUUUUUUUGUUUUUUUUUUUUUGUUUUUUUUUUGUUUUUUUGCUUUUUUAUUUUUUUUCACCUUUCGUUGAGGCCUUGCUGCCUCACCCAUGUAGCUUAAUUCACUUACUGAAUGAAUAAAGUGGGUAACGCGCUACCUUUCUCUCAAAAAAAAAAAAAAAUGUGGGAGCCUAAGAUUUAUUUUGGUAUCAUGUUAAUCAAGAGAUUCAUAUAUUAAGAAAUAAUUUACUAAUUUAAAAUCAUUUGUCAUGCAAAGUAUAUCAAAUAAAAAUGAAAAUACAUGAUGUACGUGGAACAUAAUAUUAGACACACAUUGGGUGCAAUUCUUACACAGAUGCACUUUGCCUGUCCAUAAUGGAUGGCUCAAAUAGAACUACCGGUCUCGCGCUUGGAACUAUAGAGAAAUUGGGCCUUAAUGUCUCUCUUGAUUGAUAAACUAUUUUAUCUAGUUUCAUAUAUUAUUACAUAAGCUAUUUUAUCUAGUUACAUAUAUUAUUAGGAAAUAGAUCCAAUUUCAUUUGUUCCUUCUGUUUUAAAUAAAAUAGAUAUCAAUCACUAGGCGAAGCCUAAAUAUGAUAUUCUCUAGCUACUUAGAUCUUAAACAUCAUUAAGGUCCUAUUUAAAUGUCGGAAUAAGUUAUUCCAAAAUAGCUUAUUAGGUAUAAGAAAUUUCUAGUGUGAUUAUAAGAAAGAAGCUUUUUUUUUUUUUUUUUCUUGAAAGACUUUGAUAUCCAUAAUUUGAUAGAAUAACAUAUUUAUUUACGAGUGAUUUGUCUUAUUCGAAAAAUGGCGUAAAGGGUGAAUUUAUACUCAUUUAUUAAUAUUUGAUCACACACCUCAUGUGUUAAUAUGUUUUAACUUUUCAUACAAAAUUAAAAAGAUAUACCGAAUACGAUAUUUAUACAUUCAAAUCGGGUUGAAGUUAUAUAUGACGGUAUCAAUCCAACUCGGAUUAAACUUAAACUAAACCAAUUCAUUCAAAAAAAAAAAAAAAAACCAAACCACACCAAUUAAAACCUGUCUUAUUGGAGAACCGCCAAAGAGGAUGGAGCGGGGCCAAGUCUCUCAUGGUGCUACUACUAUAUAUGUGGGCUAAGAGCCAGGUCGAUCCGUAUAGAAUUUUUUUUUCACAAAAUUAUUUUUAUAUAGAAUAAAGGUUUUUUAAUAAAUAUUUUUUAUUUAUGGUAAAUAUCAAUGACCAUUUUUAUAUACAUUUUUUAUAUUUAUUCUUCAUUAUACAUUGGCUUCAUAGUACUAGCUAUCGUCUAACACAAACACUUAUUUCUAGAAUACGCGCAUACACAAUUGCCUUGCAUAAGGAGACAAAUGUUCGAUCCAUUUUGUAAUACUAAUAAGAAACAGUACUAGAUCACAGUAAUUAAGGAGCACACUCUCUAUUGUAGAUCUUUAAACUAGCUUACAUACUCACUGAACACACCGAAACAUAACAGAAAUUAACCACAAGGUCGAAGCAAGCAGCUGAACAAAUGGAUGCGUACAUGCAUCCUUAUUUAUAACUAAGCAAAUAUGAUAGCAAACUGCAUGCAGUGCGUUGCUAAUCAUCACUGCCGACCUACACUGAGCUUCGACUUUCAAAAACAAUCUAAAUGACUUCGACACUGGGCCCUGAUUGUAGAGUGGGAUAGAGAGGGUCCAUGGCGAUUCCACAUAAUCCAAAUGACGAUGACACAUCUCUUGCCAAGCGGAUGUAUCCACCCUCACCCCAUCCGGCACCCCAUGAGUUCCUUACUAUCCAAAAUUUUUUUCCGCUGCUAUCCUGCCCGUAACCUAUAAUGACGAUGGCAUGAUUGAGUCUAGUUCCACAAGGUCCGGUAAACACACCGCGCUUGUAAUGUUGAAAGUUUCCACUGGCAUCGAGAGCAGCAGCUAUUGGUUGAUUCGACACAGCGUACAUCAUGUUGCGUUCGUUGUUCCUCUGCACAUAUGUAUAGCGAGUAAUAUAAGCUGAAUUGGGCACGCCAUUGGUCUUGCAGGUACCUUUGGCUGCUUUGUAAGGGUAGAUAGCUGCGGAUGCCACGCCCUUGUUGGAUAUGAUGAAACUGUAGGCCUUGUUUAUCCAGCCGCCUUUGCACCCGUAGCUUACAGCACAAUCGAGAACUUGCUGCUCCGAUAAAGAUACUAAGUUCCCUCUUUUGAUCUUGUAGAUUGAUUCUACCGUCGCAAUUGAAGCGAAUGCCCAGCAAGAACCUGUGCCGAAACAAAGAUUAAAUCGUGUUAGCAUAACAAGUGUAAGCAAAGUUACAUAUAUAUGUAGGUUGCCAUGAUAAAAGAAAGCAUUCAAACCAAUUACCUAAUUAGAUGAUACUUGCAAGUACUUAGCUGCUUUUAACUUGUUUUCAAUACUUGUCAUGCAUAGGGGAUGUCCCGUUCUUUUUGACUAAAACGUAUUUUGCUUACUUUAAUAAUAUAAUUAUUGUAAUAACUUAAUUAACAAUAAGAAAUUCAAUAAUAGACCUAACAUCCAGAUGAGUUGAAUCAAGUCGAAAUCUAUAAAUGUUAUGGUUAAGUCUUUAAGUGUGUUGGAUACAUUCUUUUUAUCGCCACUUUUUCUGUAAUAGUUGAUUAUCACUUACCAUCCACAUUCGAUAGCUAGGAUGAUUUUUUAUUAACUAGAUUCAAUAUUUCGACAAUUUCCUUGUAUGAAGACUGAUAAUGUGUCCUAAUGAAUGUUUAGACACUUUUAAUUUGAUCGGCCAAAAUAAUGGACUUGUUGGGUUUUAGUGGGUGGAAAUUUGGUCCUUUAGUCCAAAAACGGCAGAAGGCAUAUUUGGUGAGAUUUGAUCUAAACAACAUGUUUAAAGUUAACUAAAAGAAUAGGUAUUUGUUCCUAGCUGAAAAAAUGAAGUUGCUUUGACAAUUUAUAGUCCACAUUAAUCCUUACCACAGCGGCCUUGGUUCUUGACACUUGUUACGGCACCAGAGUCUCUCCAAUCAAUACUUUGAGGCACCGAGGAGAUGUCUACGUCAUCAAACGACACCACUGGCUCUCUCUUGAUAUUUAGUGGGAGAGAUAAACCAGUAUAUUGAGCAACAAAUUCGUUAUUUGUCAUAUCGGUAAAUUGAUUGAUACCGAGAGUGUACGAAUUUCCGUUGCGAUUGUUAAAGGUUUCGAUAUGGUUCACGUUGUUCUUGAAUAUCUGAAACCGGAGCAUCUUCUCGUCGUUGUCCUUGUAAACUCGGCCGUACUCCGCCAUCCAUUCUUCAAACUGCUUCAUCAUGGGAUCACUGGGUUCGUCACAAGAAGCUGCCGAUGGCGAAGCCCACAUCACACAGAGAAACAAGAAAAGAAACACGAGUUGAACUUUGGAAGUCAUGCUUAUGUAGCACUAAAUAUCUACUUUUAUGUAUGAGGAAAUUGGAGAUCGAGCUUCAAGAGCUUUUGUUGCUGAGAGUAUGGCCUCAAGAUCGAGUUUAUAUAGAAGUUGGAGUAUUAAUAGGUGGAGGCCUACAAGAUGGCAUAAAUCACCAUCAAAUUAAAAUUAAAUAGAUCUUGACCGCUUAUGACACCGCGUCAUUUGGUCACGCGCUAAUCAUGAAAAAGAUAAUAAUGUUUCUCUACUUCUCUCACAUUUUAACUUUAUAAUUUCUUUCAUAGGGCAUAAAAUGACUAAUUAAAUAGAUCUUGAACCCUCCUCGCCAUAAGAUCAUCUUAGGUGCAAGCAAAAAGGAAUGUACAUUUCUCCAUUUCUAUCUUUUCACUCUCUAACUUUAAUCUUUCAUGCAUAGGCUAUAUAUAUUCGUUCUUCUUGUUUCUUUUUCCGUUGCAUGAGCAGGACCAACCCUAGAAAUAAAAACCUGAUCUGUAGUUUAGUCAAAUAUUGCUUUAAAACUCGAUCGAUCUGUAAUUUGAAAAGUAGCCAACUUUGAAACAGCAUAUAUAUAGUUGCAGCUCAAGCGGAAAAUAAACCAACUAAAAGCUAAGGUUCCCUUUAGAAUUGCAGCCACAUUACAUUGCGUACGGUAAGAAAUUAAAAAUAUAAAAAUAUUUUAUUUAUUUUCAUUAGUGAUUUUUAAAAUAUAAAUAUUAAAAAUAUUAUUUUCUAUACUAUAAACUUUAAGAUUAAUGAUUAUUUCACAUCCUUCUACUCUAUAUCAAUUGAAGGACUUGUGGCUUUAAGUUCUGCCCAUUUAAAAAUAUUCAAUAUUUUUAUAUAUAGGAACCCGGCGUCUCCCAAACUAAGUAUUACCUAUUCUAAUACUAUGCGAAAUAACAUGACACAGCGGUUGUUCUCCAAAAACUUAAAGAUGCCUCAGAGGAUAAGGCACUAAGUUUGAAUCUUAUCGGGCAAUAAUUUCAUCCAAUUUCUUUUAAUUUAAUUUAAUUUAAUUCAAGUUCACAUUUUAAGUCUACUGAAAUUUCUCGAACCUAAACAUGAGGUAGAGUGUUAAUUUUAUAUAUAUAUAUAUAUAUAUAUAUAUUGUUAAGAUUUCGUUAGAUUUAUAGAUUAAAUUCUAGUUGGAUAAAAAUUAAUAUUUAAAUUUGUUGGAGAUAAAUUAAAAUUUAAAUAUUAUUUAGAGUAUGAAUCUAACUAGAGUAGGAUAAAUAUUUAAAUCUAUUGGAGAUAAAUCAAUUAAGAUUUAAAUAUUUAUUGGAGUAGAAAAAUAAAUAUACUAGAAUUCGGGUACGCUUUGAUAUAAGCUUUAUAAAUAAAUUCAUCAUACUUACUCGAUCCCAAUUCAUUCGUUUUCCUUAUAAAAAAAAUAUUCUACAAUGUCAUUCUCUCAACGAUGUCUGAGUGCAAAUUAAACAUGUAUUAAACCAAAAAUCAAAUCACGGAUUAUAAUUUUUUAAUGCAUAAAUCUUUUAAACUUUAUAAAAUUAUAUCAAAUUAAUUAAAUUUUAAUUAAUUUUAAAAUUUUUUAGGGGAAAAGAUGCUUAGUUAUCUGUUUUGUACAUUUUGAGAAUUUCUUUUGGCACCGACCGUCACUAGCGCAAGUGGUACAGGGUUUGGUGGUUGGUAUUGGAGGUCCCAAAUUCGAGUUAAGUUUAUUUCUAAAUGAAAUAAACGAAGCGGGUAACAUACUAUCUAUCUUUUAACAAAAGGGGAAACUUCAAAUACCCGCCUGUGGUUUCGUACUUUCUCACUUUAGUACCCUGUGGUUUAAAGUGUAUCAAGUUGGUACCUAGCUGUGGUUUCGUAUUUUUUCACUUUCGUACUCUGUGAUUUCAAGUGUAUCAAGUUAUUAUCCUAUGGUUUCGCACUUUCUCACUUUAGUACCAUGUGAUUUAAUAUUUUGUUAAAUUAUAUGCCUCGAAAUGAAUAAUAAAAACAGAAAAUUGAAACCACAGGGUACUAACUUGAUACAAAAAUAAAACCACAAGGUAAUAACUUAAUACAGUUGAAACCAUAUAGUACUAAAGUGAGAAAGCGCGAAACCACAUGGUACUAACUUGAUAUAUUUUAAAUCACAAGCUACUAAAGUGAGAACGCAUGAACCCAAUGGGGGUAUUUGAAGUUUCACCUAAAAAAAGAAUUUCUUUUGGCAAAGCCUACGAGAUGUAGACCCAUGCAAUGUGUACGUGUGCAAACGUUAAUUUCUCUCUUAUCAAUCGUUAGUAAAGUUGCGAGGGGAACAACUUUUAUUGCAGCUGAUGUGUUGUUAUUGGAAUUAUCGGAGCAUGUGUUGCCCAACGGGAAUAGGGCUGAUAAGAGACGUGCAUGAAUUAAAAAAGUUAUAUUUAAUUUUUUUAAAAAAAUAUUGUUCAGAAUAGUUGUUUAGCAUUAUGAAAGAAUUUUUUUUAAAAAAAGUAUCAAUGCCACGCUUAUGUAUUAAAAUGCCCUCAUAAAAUGAUAAUAUCAUUCAUGCUCUUUUAAAUGGUCAUAAAUCUUAUAGUAAUUAGCUCUAGUGAUUAAUUAGUCUCUACCGAAAAAUCUCGUCAUUAAUUAUUAUAAAAUAUUUAUUUUUUUACCAUUACGUACUAUUAGUAUAAUAACUCGUGCGAUGUGAUAAAUAGAUAGUUAAAGAAAAAAUAAAAAAUGGCCACAAAAAAGAGUAAAUAACAAUGGAAGACACUACAACAGAAUUAGGUUAUAGAAACACAUGUUUGGAACACUUUUGAGUAAGUAUCCCAUUUAUACUAAAAUUUAAAAAAAUAUCUACUAAUGCCUAAAUAUAAAGCCCAAUCCAACCAAAAAUAAAAGAUUACUUUACUCAACCCACCACACCCAGUCCAUUUGGCCUGAUUACAAACAGAAAAAAAAAAGAAAAAUUAAUUACCAUAUUUUCUUCUCGCUUUACUCAAUCCACUGAAAUUCUAGACGAAGAGCCAUUCCUGUCGUCCUCCUCCGCCACCGCAGCCAACGAGAUAGAGUUUCGGCGGUUGCGAAAUGCUUAAAUAAGUUGUUGGUAAAUUAGCAGCACUCUUUUAGGUUAUAGCGACACUCUUUAACUGUCACUAUAUAUCUAGCGAACCCACAUAUAGCAACACUUUUUAAAAGUGUCGGUAAUUUUAGCUAGCAUCACUUUUUUGACAUGUACCUACAUUUAAAAGUGUCGUUAUAGACCGUUUUUAUUGUAGUGAGAACUGACGAUGAGAGAAGAGAUUUAUCCUGCCGAUGAACGAAAAUAACAGUUGAAGUGACAAAGGGCUUGGUGGUUGGUACUCGAGACCCAAGUUCGAAUCCUAGUUGAUUCACAUUUUCAGCUAAGUUUAUUUUUAAAUGAAAUAAACGAAGCGGGUAGUGUGCUACCUAUCUCUCAAAAAAAAAAAAAAAAAUAGCAGUUGAAGAAAGAGGAAAUGAAAUAGUUGGUCUAAUGCAGAGGCGUGAUCUAGUUUGGUUCAAGGAAAAGAAAAAUCCGAUUCAGUUCAAACAAAAAAAAGAAAAAACUUGAGACAGUUUGGGAUAAAGCCUACACUCAAUAGUGAUCGAUUUAGUUCAAGUAUAAAAACAGAAAAAAAAAAAAAUUUGGUUCAAAGCUGCAAACAUGUGGAGCAGUGGGGCUAGUUUAGCCCAAUGCAACAGGUUGAUUUGAUUCGUUUCAAGCAAAGAAAGAAAGAAAUCAGGUUCAUUCCACGUGAAAAAGGAGAAAACUUAAGCGUAUUUUCAAAAUUUAUUAGAACUAAAAUUAGGAUAACGCUAUUUGACAUAAGAUAAUAUGAGAAAUAUUUAUGAUAUUUUUAGAAGUAUUUGUGAUAGUUUAAGAUUUUGAGGAGUAGCUAUGAAGUUGUCCCUAAAAAAAUCUGCAGUUCGAUCUCUCACAACCUCGUUUCAAAAUUUGGAAGAUCAAUCUCCUUGACUUUCGAAUUUUAUGUAGUACAAUUUUUAGACGUUGUUCUUAAGGUAAGAAAUUUAUAAGCAACUUUAAAGGUUUUAGUCAAAUAUAUUCACUACAAAAAAAACGGUCUAUAGUGACACUUUUAAAUAUAGGUACAUGUCAAAAAAGUGUUGGUAGCAAAAAUUACCGACACAUUUAAAAAGUGUUGCUAUAUGUGGGGUAGCUAGGUAUAUAGUAACAGUUAAAGAGUGUCGCUAUAAUCUAAAAGAGUGCUGCUAAUUUACCAACACUUAUUUAAGCAUUUAGCAACCGCCGAAACUCUAUCUCGUUAGCUGCGGUGGCGGAGGAGGACGACAGGAAAGGCUCUUCGUAUAGAAUUUCAGUGGAUUAAGUGAAGAGAGAAGAAAAGAUGGUAAUUGAUUUUUUUUUUUUCUUUUCUGUUUGUAAUCGGGCCAAAUGAACUGGGUGUGGUGGGUUAAGUAGAGUAAUCUUUUAUUUUUGGUUGGAUUGGCCUUUAUAUAUAGGCAUUAGUAGAUGUUUUUUUAAAUUUUAGGAUAAAUGAGAUACUUACUCAAAAGUGUCCCAAACAUGUGUCCCUAUAACCUAAUUCUGUUGUAGUGUAUAUAUUAAGAAUUUUAUCAGAUUUUCCGUGAUUUCAUCAAAUUUAAAAGUUUUGACCAUUUCUAGCAAUUGAAGCUUGAAUAAUUUACAACUAACUAGAAUUGCCCAAAUUAAACAAAUUUAGAAGAUAAAAAGAUGGUAAGAGUGGAGGAGUCGAUUUCAAAGGAGCCUAUGAUUGAGCACGUCUUCGUACACUUCUAUCAAUUAUCUGCUCACGUAUGCAGCAGCCAGAGCUAAACUAUGUUUAUCGAUCAGGGCAAUAAUUCGCCUUUUUUUUUUAAUGAUCUUAAGAACAUGGUUAUAAGCUUUAAUUAAAAUUAUAGAGCUUGACAACAAGUUGAACAAGUUUAUGACAAAAAUAAAUAUAUAUUAUAAGCACAGUCCCACAAAAUUGUGGGAGCAUAAGAUUUAGUUGGUAUCAUAUUAUACGAACGAACCAUAUAUCAUCGCUCAUGCAUUUUGACCGUUCAUAUUGGAUGGUCCAAAUAGAACGAUCGGUCUUGAUUGAUAAGGUAUAUAUAUUUUUUAAUGAUCUUAGGAAAUAAAUCCAAUUUCAUUUGUUCCCUUUGUUUUUAAUAAAAUAGGAAUCAUUCACUAGGCUCAGCCUAAAUCUAAUAUUCAUUGUAGAGGUGGCAAUCCAGCUUUGCUGCUCGCGAGUUAGUUCAUGUUCGGCUCGAAAUGAACUCGAAAUCGAAUCGCUCGUUUAGUAAACGAGUCGAACACGAGCUGAAGUUUUCAGCUCGUUUAAUAAACGAGCCAAACACAAGCCGGCGUCAGCUCGCUUAUUUUCGGCUCAAUAACAGCUCAAAUAUAUAUAUAUUUUAUAUUUAUAUAAUCUAUUUAAUUUAUAUUUAUAUAUUUAUAUAUAUAAAUAAAUAAUUAUGUAAUAUAUAUAUAUAUAAAAUUUAAUUUUUAGAAAAAAAAAUAUAAAGUCGAGCUCAAUUAAAAAAAAACUCAUUUAUAUAUAAAGUUUCAACCAUUAAAUCAAAAUCUAAUGAAUAAAAUUUUAUAAAUUUAUUUUUUAUAUAUAUUCAAUCUAAUUAAUUUAAUUUAUUGUUCAUUGGCCAACUCGUGUUCGGCUCAUUUAUUAAUAAAUCGAACACAAGUUGAAUUUUUCAGCUUGAUACUUUAACAAGUCAAUUCGUGUUCGGCUCGUUUAUUAAACGAGUCGAAUACGUGCCGGCCCUAGCUUACUCGUGUUCGGCUCCUUAACACCCCUAAUUCUUAGCUACUUAGAUCUUAGACAUCAUGAAGGUGCAGUCGGAAUAUCCAAAUAAGUUAUUCAAAGAGAAGAAUUUCUAGGGUGAAAGAAGUUUAUUUUUUCUCCUAGGAAAGAAUUUGAUAUCCAUAGUUAGAUACCAUAAUAUAUUUUAUCAAAUUUUAGAUUUUUGAUCACACUGCUCAUCUAUUAAUAUUAUGUAUAAAUUUUUUAAAUAAUAUUUAUAAAAUAUAUCAAUUAAGAUAUUCAUGCAUCCAAAUAGGGCCGAAGUUAUGACGGUACCAAUCCAACUUGGAUUAAGCCAAAUUCAUUCAUCGAAACCAAACCAUACCUAACAAAACGUCCUUUAUUAGAUAACAGCCAAAGAGGAUGGACCUGGACCAUGUCUCGUGGGCCUACUACUAUGUAGGCGGAGAACAAUGUCGGUCCACGAGAACACCUAAUAUUUUUUAAAAAAAUUUUAUUUUAAUAGAAUAUUUUUUUAAAAAAAAUAUAAUUUAUUUAUGUAUAAUGAAUGACUAAUUAUUGUAAUAGAAUAAAAUUUUCUCUUUAUUGUAAUAUUUUUUAAAAAAAAGAUUUGUUACCAAUCGUUCCUAAAGUAAAUGGCAAAGGGUUUGGUGGUUGGUAUACGAGACCCAAGUUUGAAUCCUAGUUGAUUCACAUUUCCAACUAAGCUUAUUUUAAAAUGAAAUAAAUGAAGUGGGUAGCGUGCUACCUAUCUCUCUCUUAANUGAUCUAGUACUGUUUCUUAUUAGUAUUACAAAAUGGAUCGAACAUUUGUCUCCUUAUGCAAGGCAAUUGUGUAUGCGCAAAAAAAAAAAAAAAAAUUGUUUUUCAUUAACAGAAACAUACUAGAUCACAGUAAUUAAGGAGCACACUCUCUAUUGUAGAUCUUCAAACUAGCUUACAUACUCACUGAACACACAGAAACAUAACAGAAACUUACCACAAUUAAUGUCGAAGCAAGCAGCUGAACAAUUGGAUGCGUACAUGCAUCCUUAUUUAUAACUAAGCAAAUAAGAUAGCAAACUGCAUGCAGUGAUCACUUCCGAUCGACCUACACUGAGCUUCGACUUUCAGAAACCAUUUUAAUGACUUCGACAUUGGCCCCUGAUUGUAGAGUGGGAUAGAGGGGACGUAUGGCGAUUCCACAUAAUCCAGAUGACGAUGACACAUCUCUUGCCAUACGGAUGUAUCCACGCUCACCCCAUGAGGCACCCCAUGAGUUCCUUACUAUCCAAAAUUUUUUUCCGCUGCUAUCCUGCCCGUAACCUAUAAUGGUGAUGGCAUGAUUGAGACUAGUUCCACAAGGUCCGCUAAACACACCGCGCUUGUAAUGUUGAAAGUCUCCACUGGCUUCAAUACUAGCAGCUAUUGGUUGAUUCGACACAGCGUACAUCAUGCUGCGUUCGUUGUUACUCUGCACACGUGUAUAACCAGUAAUAUAAGCUGAAUUGGGCACGCCAUUGAUCCUGCAGGUGCCUUGGGAUGCUUUGUAAGGGUAGAUAGCUGCGGAUGCCACGCCCUUGUUAGAUAUGAUGAAAUCGUAGGCCUUGUUCACCCAGCCGCCAUCGCACCCGUAGCUUACAGCACAAUCGAGAACUUGCUGCUCCGAUAAAGAUAUUAAGUAUCCUCUUUUGAUCUUGUAGAUUGAUUCUACCGUCGCAAUUGCAGCGAAUGCCCAGCAAGAACCUGUGCCGAAACAAAGAUUAAAUCGUGUUAGCAUAACUAGUGUAAGCAAAGUUACAUAUAUAUGUAGGUUGCCAUGAUAAAAGAAAACAUUCAAACUAACCCAAUUAGAUGUUAUUUGCAAGUACUGAGCUGCUUUUAACUUGUUUUCAAUAGUUGUCAUGCAUAGGGAUGUCUCGUUCUUUUUGACUAACAUGUACGUAUUUUGCUUACUUUAAUAAUAUAAUUAUUGUACUAACUUAAUUAACAAUAAGAAAUUCAAUAAUAUACCUAACGUCCAGAUGAGUUGAAUCAAGUCGAAAUCUAUGAAUGUUAUGGUUAAGUCUUUAAGUGUGUUGGAUACAUUCUUUUUAUCACCACGUAUUUAUGUAAUAGUUGAUUAUCACUUAUGAUCGAUCCUCAUUCGAUAACUAGGAUGAUUUUUUAUUCACUAGAUUCAAUACUUUGAUAAUUUCCUUGUAUGAAGACUGAUAAUAUGUCCUAAUGAAUGUUUAGACACUUUUGAUCGGCCAAAAUAAUGGACUUGUUGGGUUUUAGUGGGUGGAAAUUUGGUCCUUUAUAAAGGACCAAAUUAUAUUAUUUGAUGAGAUUUGAUGAGAUUAUAUUAUUUAGUCCAAAAACGGCAGAAGGCAUAUUUGAUGAGAUUUGAUCUAAAAUACAUAUUUAAAGUUAACUAAAAGAAUAGGUAUUUGUUCCUAGUUGAACAAAUGAAGUUGCAUUGACAAUUUAUAGUCUAAAUUAUUUCUUACCACAGGGGUUUUGGUUCUUGACACUUGUUACGGCACCGUAGUUUCUCCAAUCAAUACUUUGAGGCACCGCGGAGAUGUCUACGUCAUCAAACGACACCACUGGCUCUCUCUCGAUAUUUAAUGGGAGAGAUACUCCAGUAUAUUGAGCAACAAAUUCGUUAUUUGUCAUAUCGGUAAACUGAUUGAUACCGAGAGUGUAAGAAUUUCCGUUGCGACUGUUAAAGGUUUCGAUAUGGUUCACGUUGUUCUUGAAUAUCUGAAACCGGCGCAUCUUCUCGUCGUUGUCCUUGUAAACUCGGCCGUACUCCGCCAUCCAUUCUUCAAACCGCUUCAUCAUGGGAUCACUGGGUUCGUCACGAGAAGCUGCCGAUGGCGAAGCCCAC
rnacentral:lncRNA from 1 species